GACGAACGCUGGCGGCGUGCUUAACACAUGCAAGUCGAGCGACGCUCUUCCUUCGGGGAGAUGACGGAGCGGCGAACGGGUGAGUAACACGUGGGCAACCUGCCCCUAGCUCUGGGACAACACCGGGAAACCGGUGCUAAUACCGGAUACGACAUCGAGCGGCAUCUCUCGAUGUGGAAAGUUUUUUCGGCUAGGGAUGGGCCCGCGGCCUAUCAGCUUGUUGGUGGGGUAAUGGCCCACCAAGGCGACGACGGGUAGCCGGCCUGAGAGGGCGACCGGCCACACUGGGACUGAGACACGGCCCAGACUCCUACGGGAGGCAGCAGUGGGGAAUAUUGCGCAAUGGGCGAAAGCCUGACGCAGCGACGCCGCGUGAGGGAUGACGGCCUUCGGGUUGUAAACCUCUUUCAGCAGGGACGAAUUCAGACGGUGCCUGCAGAAGAAGCACCGGCCAACUACGUG
rnacentral:rRNA from 1 species